rnacentral:rRNA from 1 species
AACGAACGCUGGCGGCAGGCCUAACACAUGCAAGUCGAGCGCCCCGCAAGGGGAGCGGCGGACGGGUGAGUAACGCGUGGGAACGUGCCCUUUGCUUCGGAAUAGCCUCGGGAAACUGGGGGUAAUACCGAAUGUGCCCUACGGGGGAAAGAUUUAUCGGCAAAGGAUCGGCCCGCGUUGGAUUAGGUAGUUGGUGGGGUAAUGGCCUACCAAGCCGACGAUCCAUAGCUGGUUUGAGAGGAUGAUCAGCCACACUGGGACUGAGACACGGCCCAGACUCCUACGGGAGGCAGCAGUGGGGAAUCUUAGACAAUGGGCGCAAGCCUGAUCUAGCCAUGCCGCGUGAGCGAUGAAGGCCUUAGGGUUGUAAAGCUCUUUCGUGGGGGAAGAUAAUGACUGUACCCCAAGAAGAAGCCCCGGCUAACUCCGUG